rnacentral:rRNA from 1 species
AUACGGAGGAUCCGAGCGUUAUCCGGAUUUAUUGGGUUUAAAGGGUGCGCAGGCGGGAGAUUAAGUCGGCGGUGAAAUUUUGCAGCUCAAAUUGUAAAAUGCCUUUGAAACUGGUUUCCUUGAGGGUCGCUGGAGGAGGCGGAAAUUUUGGUGUAGCGGUGAAAUGCAUAGAUAUCACGAGGAACUCCGAUUGCGCAGGCAGCUUACUAAACUACUACUGACGCUCAGGCACGAAGGCGUGGGGAUCAAACAGGAUUAGAUACCCUGGUAGUCCACGCAGUAAACGAUGAUUACUAGCUGUUUGCGAUACAAUGUAAGCGGCUGAGCGAAAGCGUUAAGUAAUCCACCUGGGGAGUACGUUCGCAAGAAUGAAACUCAAAGGAAUUGACGGGG